rnacentral:rRNA from 1 species
CAGCCGCCGCGGGAAUACGAAGGGGGCUAGCGUUGUUCGGAAUUACUGGGCGUAAAGCGCACGUAGGCGGAUAUUUAAGUCAGGGGUGAAAUCCCAGAGCUCAACUCUGGAACUGCCUUUGAUACUGGGUAUCUUGAGUAUGGAAGAGGUGAGUGGAAUUCCGAGUGUAGAGGUGAGAUUCGUAGAUAUUCGGAGGAACACCAGUGGCGAAGGCGGCUCACUGGUCCAUUACUGACGCUGAGGUGCGAAAGCGUGGGGAGCAAACAGGAUUAGAUACCCGCGUAGUCCCUGUCUCUUAUAC